AAUAGAUACCCGGGUAGUCCACGCCGUAAACGAUGAGUGCUAAGUGUUGGGGGGUUUCCGCCCCUCAGUGCUGCAGCUAACGCAUUAAGCACUCCGCCUGGGGAGUACGGUCGCAAGACUGAAACUCAAAGGAAUUGACGGGGGCCCGCACAAGCGGUGGAGCAUGUGGUUUAGUUCGAAGCAACGCGAAGAACCUUACCAGGUCUUGACAUCCCGGUGACCACUAUGGAGACAUAGUUUCCCCUUCGGGGGCAACGGUGACAGGUGGUGCAUGGUUGUCGUCAGCUCGUGUCGUGAGAUGUUGGGUUAAGUCCCGCAACGAGCGCAACCCUUAUUCUUAGUUGCCAUCAUUCAGUUGGGCACUCUAAGGAGACUGCCGGUGAUAAACCGGAGGAAGGUGGGGAUGACGUCAAAUCAUCAUGCCCCUUAUGACCUGGGCUACACACGUGCUACAAUGGACGGUACAAACGGUUGCCAACCCGCGAGGGGAGCUAAUCCGAUAAAACCGUUCUCAGUUCGGAUUGUAGGCUGCAACUCGCCUACAUGAACG
rnacentral:rRNA from 1 species